CUCCCCGCCGAGCGGCCUGGGCCACGGUCCGCCUACAGCGCAGCCGCCACCCAGGGGUCUCGGAGAGCUGACGUCACAGCUGCAGCAGCAGCCCCGGGAAGGGCGGGGCCUGGGCCGAGUGGGCGGGGACACGGCGACGUGCGGAGGCGGGGAUUGGCCGCCGGGCGGUUGCUCCGCCCCCCUGCGAAGUGGGCUGGGAAGUCCGGGCUUCCUCCAGCCGAGGGUUUCAGCCCCCUUCUGCAUCCUUCUAUCAAGAAAUUUGGCAUAAUGAAGAGUGCUGUGUAACCAGAUGUGUGCCUCAGAAGAACAGAAAACUCAGCGAGUGGUAAUGGAAAGCCUUUUGGAGGAAUGUGUGUAUGGCACUUUACUUCGCUUUGCAAACUCGUCUGCCCUGCUUUGGCAAAGGUCCUGUGUACCAGGAAAAUAUCUUUGUGGCAGGCAAACGGAAGUGGUUUGCCACCUGUUGAGGCAGCAGGGAGUGGAAGUAAGAUCUAGAGACUACCGACUUAAACCAUCAUCUACAAGGCCAGGCCCCGGAUGGAAAAACUGUGCCCUGCUUGAUCAAACGAGGCAGUUCUGAGUGGUCUCCUUUUCGAAUGAGAAGACUGAGGAAAGAAUGAGAAACUAAUAGGACCAGGCCAGAAAAGGAGGGCAGGAGCACCACAAGAUUACUGGAGCAGACUCCUGGGUGCAUCUUUGAAGUCAUUUCCAUAGGUGAUGAGAUCCUGAAGGCUCUGACCCCUUUACGGAUUCAUAAUAUUAUGGCAUUAAGGAUACAAAAUGUUAAGGUGGCAGGCUUUCAGCCCCAAGUGCCUGGUAUCAGCAUGAGUAAGAAGUAACAGUCUCAGAAGGAGUAAGCUAAAACCUUCAGAUAUGAUGAGGGAUGUUAGUAGUUCUUUAUAAUGUAUGUGAGACAUGAAGCAGAAAGGACCACCACAGGCUUAGGAAGAGCCCGGAAGCUUAAAGGCAACCAAGCAGCACAGGAGGAGGCCUCAGGGCCUUGUUCUACUGAAGAAGCACCAGAAGGCUGGGAAUUGCACCAGCAGCUAGGGCCGUGCUCUCGAUGCGUGUGCCUGUGAAGAAAAGCAAUACCAAAGACGCUGAUGUUCCAAAUGUACGUACUGUUUGGAUCCUGUCGUGACCUGAAGGAGGACUGCAAGCCUGCAAAAUUCUAUGAGAUGGCGUCUUGACUGAAUACAAUACGAUGUUAAUGAUUCAUCAAUCUUAACAGGCCUCUUUAGGGAAUGAGCAAAAGAGACUCUCUUAUUUCCUAUAAUCUUAAUCUUAAAUUUUUAUCUAUAAUCUAAGAUUAAAUAUAUGUGUAAUAUGCAGAAAAAUA